GAUGAACGCUGGCGGCGUGCCUAAUACAUGCAAGUCGAGCGAACAGACGAGGAGCUUGCUCCUCUGACGUUAGCGGCGGACGGGUGAGUAACACGUGGAUAACCUACCUAUAAGACUGGGAUAACUUCGGGAAACCGGAGCUAAUACCGGAUAAUAUAUUGAACCGCAUGGUUCAAUAGUAAAAGACGGUUUUGCUGUCACUUAUAGAUGGAUCCGCGCCGCAUUAGCUAGUUGGUAAGGUAACGGCUUACCAAGGCAACGAUGCGUAGCCGACCUGAGAGGGUGAUCGGCCACACUGGAACUGAGACACGGUCCAGACUCCUACGGGAGGAAGCAGUAGGGAAUCUUACGCAAUGGGCGAAAGCCUGACGGAGCAACGCCGCGUGAGUGAUGAAGGUCUUCGGAUCGUAAAACUCUGUUAUUAGGGAAGAACAAAUGUGUAAGUAACUAUGCACGUCUUGACGGUACCUAAUCAGAAAGCCACGGCUAACUACGUG
rnacentral:rRNA from 1 species